GGGUUUCGUGGUGCGGCGGUACGGGUGUUUGCGGUGAUCAUUCGGGGAUGCGGCGGUGAGACAGUGUGACUGUGUGUGCGGUGGUCAGUGGUGCUUCGCGACUUGAGUCUACGAGAGAGGAGGAGAAAGAAGAUAACAGGCCACGAACGGAUGUCACAUAUCCGUUUGAGCCUAAAACGGAUGUUGAUAUCUGUCAACAGAUAUGCGACAUCUGUUCAGGCUUGGAUGUUUUUUUUUUAAUUUUUUUAGUAUGCUACAUGGAUCAUGGAAUUCUAUCAACUCGAGCGAGAAAGAACUCUCCACCUCCUUUGAAGUGGCAUAGCCUGGGUAUUAACUUGGUGUGGUGUGCAUUGCCAGAAAUUCAUGUUUAGAGGAUUUUUGUCUAGAGGAUUCAUUUAUGGAUUUAAUGGAAACUAAAACUUAAGGAAAUUGAACUUCAAAAAUUGAAACUUUCCCGAAUCUCUCGUUUGGAUAUUAGUAAAAUAAAUUUUACAAUGCAAAAACUUUCGCAAAAACGUUGGAGAUAAUUAUAAAAUUGUUAAACAAUUAAAGAAUACAAAUAAAUAUAGGGUCCCGAUAUUUUAACACCAAAAUUUUAACACGGUUUUGACAACGCCAGGUGUCACCAGCUGAUUUGUCCAAAUUUGUUUUUCUUUUAUUCUGAAAUUAUGACGUCGAAAUUGAUGAAUGUUUAAGAAAUUUGGGAUUCAAAAUAUAGCCUUGCCUUGUUUCAUUAGAAAUCAUUGUUCUCUUUCUUCCUUGUCAUCCACCAUCUUCGUUGUACCUCUCCUUUUUCGUUUUCGGUGUAUGUUUUCGUUGUGGCGGUCUCCGUUGUCGCUCUCGUCGUACGUUUUCGCUCCAUCUCUUCGCUUUGGUGAAAGUCAUUCUCUUUGUUUAGUGUAUUUUGCGAGAUGGCAAGUUCCGGUAACCAUGGUCCUUCGACGAGCAAAGUAAAUGCAUUCUUCCUCCAUUUUGUUCAUUGCGUUUUCGGUUUCGAUUUUGGGUUUUCCCUGUUAUGUGAAAUUUUUUGUGGUUAUUGUUUUAGGACUUAUAUGUUUUGUUUAUUUUGUUUGUCGUUGAUGCAGUUGAGGGUUAGUCACUCAUUUUAUACAAAGUAUAUUUCUACUUUGAACGAGUGUUUGUCAGAGGAGCACCAGUCACUGAUUGUAGAGACUCCUUUUCGGUGGUUUUUAGAUUUUUGUGGUAAAGUUAAAGUAGGUAGGAAUAUUUUGAGUGAGUUAUUGGUUAAAUGGGUGGAUUCCAGUAGUGGUUUUUUAAUUGGAGAUAAACUUGUUUCUAUGAAUGAGAAGGAAUUUUGUUUAGGUUUGGGGUUGAGUUCAGAUGGUCAAAAUAUUAACUUAAAGGAAGAAAUGGGAAGAAGUACAUGUGUGAAAUACAUAGGCAACGGAACAAAAUAUUUGAAUUUGGUAUACAAAUGUUUGAUGAGAAAACAUAAAACAAAGAUACCUCCUUCUCAUUUUUGUAGCUUGUACAUAUUGGUAGGGAUAUGUGAGAUAUUAUUUUCACACCAUAGCGGAAGAGUGUUUCCCAUAAUGUUUGAAAUUGUUGAUAAUUUAAGUGGUUUGGGAAAUUAUUGUUAGGGUAGUUUAGUGUAUUGCUAUUUGGUAUGUAAUUUGUGUAAAGCUUCUGAUUCUUUAAAGAAAGGAAAAGGUACACGCAACGUUUAUGUUGAUGGUUGUGUUUACAUGCUGCAGGUAAUUUAGAUUAAUUGAUUUAAAAUGUCCCAUUUUUUUUGGGUUGUGGAUUGCUUUGUGUU